rnacentral:lncRNA from 1 species
GACACGUUGUACAAUAUACCGGAUUUUUAAUAUAAAAAAGUGUAAAUAAAAAUAGUGUAAGAUACUAUUUUUAUUGGACUUAAAAAAGUAAAAUAAAAGUCGAAAAUGACUUGUGCUGAAAUUAGAACAGAAACAGAAGAUUUAAAAUUUUCUGUAAGAAAUGGGACUGAUAUGUUAGCAGAAAAUUCACAGUGUCAGAAAAUUAUGAAAAUUGGAGAAUAUAUCAAAAUUAUUUUUAUGAGGCGAGAUUUAAAGUUUCAUGUCAUUCCGACACCCGAAAAGUGGAAAAUAAAAUCUGACUGCUAUUUGCUAGAGAUUUUAGUCGGUAGAGCUUUCGGUGACCAAAAAGGUCCAAACUGAAAACUUAAGAUUUUGUUCUUUUUAUUAAUUUUAACCGAGCCUGAUUGUCAAAUUUGAGCAUAAACGGACAUUCAGAAGGGCUCCGGCGAAAAGUAUCAGAUUCUAAAUUGGGAACAUAUUUGUAAAGGGGUAAUUCCAGUAAUUGUGAAGGGGUUUUUAGCAAUUGUUUGGGCUUAUCUACUACCCAGCAACUCCAGCAGCUGCUACGUAUAGGAUUUACACUCUCUUCAACCUCUCUUCUUAUCUCUUUCUCCCUCUCUCUCUCUAACCUAAGGUGAUGGUGAACUAAGGGUUUUGUUGAAAGAUUCAAGUGUUUUGAGCUGAAAGAAAGGGUGGAGCAAGGAAAAUCAGUUGGUUGAGAGCAAUCUUAAGGUAAGGUUGGUGUAUUUCCUGAUUAGGGCUGGUUUAAUUAACCUAAGAGAGGUUUAGUUUUGAGAUUUUGGCUUCUAGAGAUUAGGUUGCCGUGAGAAAACCUAGAAAAGCUUUAUGUCAUUUGUGUAUAUGUGAGCCAAGCAACCUGAGGUAGGUUGAUUAUGUUUCUUGGAUAGGGUUUGUUGAAUUCAACCUAGAAAAGAGUUUGAGCUGUGAAUUCUUGGUUGCUAGUGUUUAUAAUUGCCCUGGAAAUUUAGAGAACAAGCUGUAUGUUGAGUGGUAUGAAUACCUUAUGUGAGUUUAGGUCGGAAUGAAGCUUGAGGUGAAGUUAACACAUCUCUUUGAUAGAGUUUGUGUAUUUACUCGGUAAAAAGGUUGAACAAUGGGUUUUAUUGGGUUACUCGUAUUUGUGGUUUCCAUGGAAGUUUAGAAAAACCAUAUGUUAUGUGUAUAUAUGAGUAGUAUACAUGUAUGUGAAAUGAGCAACCUGAGGCAAGUGGAUCUUAAUUCCUGAUUAUGGUUAUGAUAUUUAAGCUAAAAGAAAGGGUUUAAGCUAUAGAAUUUGAGUUUCUAAAGCUUAAAGUUGCCAUGAAAGCUUAGAAAUUACACUACGUUGAUGACAUAUACUGUCACGCCCGGGUACCAGCGGAAGAAUAUCCGGCACGUGCACAGACCCGCCAUACACCUGCAGUAUAUAAGGCGUCUACAAGAACACAAGUCGAUAGGAGGAAAGUAUAGUAAGAUCCUAUCCUGAUAUCAGAGCAAAAUACAAGUCGAUAUACUAUCAGUAAAGGAACAAAGAGUAUACAAUCCAAAAUCUCAGCAAAAAGGAGAAAGUAUCACAACUAUAGAGUCUGAUCUCAACAAUACAUAUACAUCGCAGGGUAUACAAAAGGAAUAGGUACAACGGUGGUCUCUCUAUACAUAGGGACAUCACCCUCGGCCGUAGCCCGAGUAGCAAGGUGAUCGACUAGCACGCUCCUAGUAGUCCCUAGCUAGGCGCGACUC